rnacentral:lncRNA from 1 species
AAGGAGCCCUUAGUCUGAGCACAAGCCACUAAUUUUCCCUGUUUUUUUCCUAAACAGUCUUGGUGAGGAUGUGAUUACCUGGAAGACAUCUAUGCAGGUCCUGGACAUUCACAACAGCCUCCUGGCCACUCUCCUGCCUGCUCUGCUUGCACUUCCUGGCCACCCUGAAACCCACCCUGGAAGACUACCAAAUGUAAGACAAGACACAUCUGGAGCAUUGUUAAACAAAAUACUAUUUCUGGAGGUGUGGCCAAGAUAGCAGAGUAAGGAAACCCUGAGCUUACCUUCUCCCACGGACAUAUCACAAUUAUAGCUGUUUACAGAGCAGCCAUCAAUGGGAGCAAUCUGAAGACUAGCAGAAAAGAUUUCCCAUAUCAACGGGAUAGGUAGGAGAGGCAGAGAUAUGGUAUAAUCAAAACCCACGUAGUUGGGUAGGUGACUCAUAAAUGGGAGAAUAAUCACAAUUGUGGAGGUUUUUCCUAAGGAGUGAAGGAUCUGAGUCCCACAUUGGGCAUUCCAGCCCAGGGGUCCUAUACCAGGAAGAGAGGCUCCCAGAAUGUCUAGCUUCAAAGGCAACCAGAGCUUGAGUGUGGGAGAGUUGGAGGGCUAUAGGAAACAGAGACUGCUUUUUAAAAGUUCACAGGAGGGGGGUUCAUGUUUGGGAAUGCAUGUAAGAAUUAAAGAUUUUAAAAUGUAAAAAAUAAAAAACUAAAAAAAAAAAAAAAAAGUUCACAGAAUAUCUCGCAAACUCUGAGAACCAGCACAAAGGCAGUAAUUUGAAAGGAGCCUGAAUCAAAUCCACUUGCUGAUCUUAGAGAGCCUCCUGAAGAGAAAGCUGCCACCCAGGACUCCCCUUGAGGACAUAGAUGCUCCAUUUUGGGGAGCUUCUUCUACCACAGGGACAUUGGUACUGGUAAACCUAUAAGGGCCGAGGACUUACCUGUCCACUGUUAGGCCAGCACCAGACCCAAACUCCCUUUGGUCCCAUUGCCUGCCAAGCUGGGACCCAGUCCCUCCCAUCAGUGGACUGGAACCAGCUUUAGCUCCCCUAGGCCCCAAGUCAGAUGCCCUGGGACACAACCCUUAUCAGCAGCUAACUGGCACCAGUCCAGGGAACCCACAGUUUGCAUAGGAGACAACAGGAGUCAGUCUUGACCAUCAGUGUACUGGUACACAUCCCAGGACACACCAGGUCAUGUAGUCAGCAGCACCAUAACGUGGCCCCACUCACCACUAACCCAGCAGCCACUACAUGAGACAGGGCCUGGUAGCCAACCAGUCAGGACAGCCCUGCCUACCAAUGCACUCAUAGUAGGUAUGGCCUCACCACAACAGAAGGGCCCACACAGGUGACACCUCUAUAGAUUAUAGCUCUGAGAAAUAGAGAGGAGUGUGCUUCUGGGUCUUAUAGAAUGUUUCUUACAUAAGACCACUUCUCUGAGAUCAGGAAAUGUAACUGACAUGCCUAAUACAUAGUAAUAAACAUAGAGAUUUGGACAAAGGAAUAAUACAAGACCCCUGAAAAGAAACAAAACUAAACUAAAUGAAAUAGAGAUAAGCCAUCUACCUGAAAGAGUUCGAGGUAAUUGCCAUGAAUAUGCUCAAUGAACUACUCAGGAGAAUAAAGACCAAACUGAGAAUUUUAACAGAAAACAUAAAGAAGAACCAAACAGAGCUGAAGAAUACAAUAACUGAAAUAAAAAUAUACUAGAAGGGAAAACAGUUAAUUAGAUAAUAAUUUUUCAGUUAAUUUAUUUUAAAAUGUUCUUUGUUGAUAGAAAGAAGUUACAUACUCAAAUGCAUUAUUUUUAAUGACAUUUCUGUUGUUUCUAACUUUUUAAUAAAUUUGACAUUAGACAAAUGGUAAUUUGCAUAACAAACAACUCCGCCCCCCCUCCCCCCCACCCCCCAAAAAAAGAAUUUGGUAAAAGAGUCUGCUUAAUGUAAAAUAAACAGUCAUAUUAGUAUAGGC